rnacentral:rRNA from 1 species
ACACCAGCGCCAUAAGUGGCAACCGCUUUUAUCGGGCCUAAAGCGUCCGUAGCCGGUUUAGUAAAUUUCCUGUGAAAUCGUUGAGCUCAACUUAACGACGUGCAAGAAACACUACUAGACUAGGGACCGGGAGGCGUCAGAGGUAUUCUUGAGGGAGCGGUAAAAAUGCUAUAAUCUCAGGAGGACCACCGAUGGCGAAGGCAUCUGACGAGAACGGAUCCGACGGUGAGGGACGAAAGCUAGGGGAGCAAACCGGAUUAGAAACCCGGGUAGUCC